rnacentral:lncRNA from 1 species
AUAGCAGAAUGUGCAUUUGGACAGAUAAAGCCGGGUCUUUACAGUCCUAAAGCCCAUGUGCUUUCUGCUCUGCCACCUGCCUCCUCUCAGACCCUAACCAGACCACACCCCUCCCUGAGGAUAAGCAGCUAAAGGGGAGGGCCUGGCACUCUGGGCUUCCCACAUGGACUCCCAGGCAAGGCUUACCCAGGGCAGGGAAACUGAGUACUUUCCGGGGUCACAUCUUUCCCUAGGUGCCCUGCUAAUCUCCAAGCAGCAGGAGGAGGAAGGAAGAGAAAAAGGAGACAUCAGUUGAAAUAAAACAUGAGGCAGUUCAAGGAGGAAUUAAAGGAGUCAAUGAAUCCUAUGUCAUCUACUAUAUUUACAAGACAAAAGAGACCGGAAGUGCCAUCUUAAAGCCAGAUGGUCACCAUCUAGUGGCUAAAGAGGACAACUACAAUGACAACCCACACAGGAGGGGCAGCA